AUGGCGUCCUCUUUGGAUGCGCAGUCGGCAACAUGUGGCGGGGCUAGGGCCGCAAACCCCAGCAAUCUGGAUGACUUCUUCAACCAACUCGACCUUGAUGGAGAAAUCUUCGACGAUUUGGUGGUCGAUGAGGAUGAUCCAGUCAUCAAUGAAAGUGUUUGUUGGUUAGCCCUGGCUAGGGUUUACACGGAGAAAAACUUCAGUCAGUCUGCCUUUUUCAAGGAUAUGUGUGCGGCAUGGAACACAACGCAGGAGGUUCGCUUCAAGCCAGUGGGUAAUAAUCUCUUUGUUGUUCAAGCCUCUUGCCUGGGAGAUUAUGAGCGAAUUGUGGAGAAGGGCCCAUGGAUAUUCAGGAACUUGGCUGUUCUCAUACAGUCGUAUGAUGGUUUCAGCAAGACAGAUGAGAUCGAGAUUGUGCACAUGCCUAUAUGGCUCCAAAUUCAUAAGCUACCGGAUGGAUAUUGUAAACCGGAUCUAGUUCAAAAGCUAAUCAGGAAAGUAGGUGAGGUCCUAGAGACUCGUUUGCAAGGUAAUUCACGGGGUGAUUACAUCAGAGUGCGGGUUAAGCAUGACAUCAGGGAACCGCUGACCAAGCAUGUUAGCAUUGUCAGAGGAAGAGAAAGACAGGUUUUUGCUGUCAGAUAUGAGGAGUUGGACCGUUUCUGUAAAUUCUGUGGCAGGAUUGGGCAUGACUUCAAAGAGUGUGGUACAGGGGUGUAUGCUACCAAGGAUCUUACUUUUGGAGAUUGGCUAUAUGCUGAACCCCCCCCCCCCAAUUUCUCUUAG
rnacentral:rRNA from 1 species